rnacentral:lncRNA from 1 species
AUGGAGGAACAAUGGGGAAUGGAGGCCUCUUUCUGGGGGCUCGGGAGCGGUAACCCCUCCUCCUCUUCCUCUCCAACCCGCCAGGAUGAGGACGGAGGGACGUCCAUCCCAACCCCCACAACACCCACUGCCACCUCUCUGAAAUCCACCUCCCAGUUGCCUAAGGCCAGACUAGGGGCAUGGAGAGAGCUGAAGCAGGAGCUCAGAUCAGGAUCCAGGGUACUCACCCCAGCAGGAACCACCCCACCAAUAACCGUGGCUACUCCCGCGGGCUCCAACCCAGACUCCCCCUCCCACAGCCGGGCCUCGAUCUCGCGGGUUGAGGCUGAGCCUUCGUUCGGCACCUACACGCAUCUGACCAGGUCAGUGCUUGUCCCAAUGCACAGAAGGUCCUGGCCACGCCAGGCCUGGGAGUUGGGCCCCUCUGGCCAGGCAGGGCUGGGGGAGGGGCCUGCGACUCUCUCUAGCACCAAGGCUGUCGGUCGCCCCAAGAAACUGGGACCCGAGGGGCACCCCAACCUAGUGUCAUCCUCUAUUCAGGAGCCUUCCGACUGCGCGCAGGCAAAGCCCCAGGCUUCCUGCCUCCUGCGGGACCUCAACGCGGACCCCAGACCCCGCCGCAGCUCCAAAGUCGGAGAGAAGGCGGCCUCCGCGCCCCCUCCUCCAGUUCCAGCUCAGGAUCUCCUCGCCUCGGACACGGAAUGGCGGAGAGAGCCGCACCGCGGAUAUGCAUCGGCCAUGAGUCUAGACUUGAGGCUGACGAGGAUUCGGGAAGAGACCCCAUCCCCACGCCGCCCUCUCGUUCUGCGGUUUCCCAUGAGUGCGUGUUGCGAGGCGGGUGCGGGGUGGGGGGAGCCCGGGCAGAUCGAUUUAGGUUGAAGGGUGGGGCGCGGCGGCCGGAGAGCCUCACCUGAAAUUGGGCGGCGACGCGAUGUGCAGCCCCAGGAACGGGGGGGCGGCAGGCGGGGAGGCAGCCCCCCCGCCCA